AUACAGAGGGUGCGAGCGUUAAUCGGAUUUACUGGGCGUAAAGCGUGCGUAGGCGGCUUUUUAAGUCGGAUGUGAAAUCCCUGAGCUUAACUUAGGAAUUGCAUUCGAUACUGGGAAGCUAGAGUAUGGGAGAGGAUGGUAGAAUUCCAGGUGUAGCGGUGAAAUGCGUAGAGAUCUGGAGGAAUACCGAUGGCGAAGGCAGCCAUCUGGCCUAAUACUGACGCUGAGGUACGAAAGCAUGGGGAGCAAACAGGAUUAGAUACCCUGGUAGUCCAUGCCGUAAACGAUGUCUACUAGCCGUUGGGGCCUUUGAGGCUUUAGUGGCGCAGCUAACGCGUGAAGUCGACCGCCUGGGGAGUACGGCCGCAAGGUUGAA
rnacentral:rRNA from 1 species